rnacentral:rRNA from 1 species
AGUGAACGCUGGCGGUAGGCCUAACACAUGCAAGUCGAACGGCAGCACAGUAAGAGCUUGCUCUUACGGGUGGCGAGUGGCGGACGGGUGAGGAAUACAUCGGAAUCUACUUUUUCGUGGGGGAUAACGUAGGGAAACUUACGCUAAUACCGCAUACGACCUACGGGUGAAAGCAGGGGAUCUUCGGACCUUGCGCGAUUGAAUGAGCCGAUGUCGGAUUAGCUAGUUGGCGGGGUAAAGGCCCACCAAGGCGACGAUCCGUAGCUGGUCUGAGAGGAUGAUCAGCCACACUGGAACUGAGACACGGUCAGACUCCUACGGGAGGCAGCAGUGGGGAAUAUUGGACAAUGGGCGCAAGCCUGAUCCAGCCAUACCGCGUGGGUGAAGAAGGCCUUCGGGUUGUAAAGCCCUUUUGUUGGGAAAGAAAAGCAGCAGGUUAAUACCCCGCUGUUCUGACGGUACCCAAAGAAUAAGCACCGGCUAGCUUCGUGC